rnacentral:lncRNA from 1 species
AUGUGUUUUGAGAGCCUCACCUGGUCUUUCCCCGCCUCACCUCCCUCUGCCCCCACCACCCCCACCUGCACUACAGGUGAAGGCCACCAUGUACCUGAGCUACUUCCAGGCUGUGGGUGUUCCCCUCUGUGUCUACGCUCUCUUCCUCUUCCUCUGCCAGCAAGUGGCCUCCUUUUGUCACGGUUACUGGCUGAGCCUGUGGGCGGACGAUCCCACCUGUGGACGGGCGGCAGACGCAGGCAGCUUUGCGGGGCUCGAUCUUCGGGAUCCUGGGCUGCCUUCAAGGUACCCCUCACCCUCCAUCCUCCCAGCCUCCCUCCGAGUGCUCAGGGCUCCCUGGCCUGCCCGUCCCUGGCUUACCCUGCCCUUCAUGACCAUCUGUGCCAACCUCCUGGGCUCAAAUGCAUCCUUCAGAUAAAGCUUGGGGGUGGGGGGGGACAUGGCCCAUCCCUCCCCUCCUGGGCCCCCAGAGUCUCUGCCAGACUCAUCAGCAAAUGCAGAAUCCUGGCCCCCAGAUGUUGGGGACAGCUGAGGACUGGGGUGAGGACAGGCCAACUGCAGUGUUUAGAUUGGCCAGGGGUCCAAUCUGCCCGGCCCCAGAGACAGGGAGCAAGCUGGCGGCAUCCCAAGUCCGUAGAUCAGACGGGGAGGAAGUGGGCAUGUGAGUUCCCUAGGACUGACACAAAUAGCCACACACCUGGGAGCUCAGAACAACAGAAACUUAACUCCCACAGCCCUGAAGCCAGAAGCCCCCAAACCAAGCUCUCAGCAGGACUGGUUCUUCUCAGAGGCUCUGGGGGAGCAACGCUCCCAUGCCUCUCUCCUAGCUUCUGCUGGGGGCCAGCAAUCCUUGGCUUGUUGUGUCUUUGCCUGUCUUCACACCACCUCCUCUGUGUCUCUGGAUGUCUUCUCGUAAGGACACUAGUCAUUGGAUUUAGAAGCCACCCUAUAUCCAAGGUGGUAUCAUCUCAAGCUCUUUCACUGAAAACCUCUCCAAAGAUCCCAUUUCCAAAUAAGUUCACAUCCUGA